GGAAAAGGGUCAAAAAUACCCCUCAACUUUGUUUUAUUAGUUGACUUUACCCUCGCCGUUAAAAUGAAGUUAAUUUUACCCCUCCCAUUACUAAUUUCACCAAAUUUAUCCCUCAAUUGGAUGAAAAACCCAAAUCAACUAAAAUUAUCCAAUUUCAAUUAAAUAACCCAAUUUUUUCUCUUUUUAAUCCGAACCCGACCCAUUUAUACCAAAUUAAAACCCCAAAUCAAGCUCCGGCAAUCCCCAUUCAUUUUCUCCGUUUUCCGGCGAAACACCACCAAAACAACCUCCAAAUGACCACCUGAAACCACCACUCAAAACCCCCAAAAACCAGAAACGACAUCAAGCAGAAAACAUUAACAACACACCCAUUUUCCUCUACUUUCCGGUGACGACAACAAGACCUUUCUUCUCCAUUUCCGGCCAGUUCCAAGCUGGAACAACAUUAAGCAAACCACCCACCGUCGGAAUCAUUCAAACAGCCGUGAAACCGACCUGAAACAGCUCUCAAACACCACUCUCUCCACGCCAAAAUAACCACCCACCGUCGGAAUCAUUCAAACAGCCACGAAACCGACCUGAAAUAGCUCUCAAACACCACCCUCUCCAUGCCAAAAUUCAGUGGUAAAACCACACUUCAGCCCACCAGAACCCAGACCUCCAUCACCCAAGCUAAAACAACCAGCA
rnacentral:lncRNA from 1 species